rnacentral:rRNA from 1 species
UACGUAGGGUGCGAGCGUUAAUCGGAAUUACUGGGCGUAAAGCGUGCGCAGGCGGUCUGUUAAGACCGAUGUGAAAUCCCCGGGCUUAACCUGGGAACUGCAUUGGUGACUGGCAGGCUUUGAGUGUGGCAGAGGGAGGUAGAAUUCCGACGUGUAGCAGUGAAAUGCGUAGAGAUGUGGAGGAAUACCGAUGGCGAAGG